GGUCACUUUGAGACACCACUUGUAAGAUAGAAAGGACACACAGAGAUUCCUAUCAGAGGACAGAGUUACAGCAAGGACAGAGGCGUUCCCUGUCUCUCCGCAGUGAAUACAGCUCACUACAAAAGACUCCCAUUUGAGCACAAAGUGGAAACAUGGCUGCUCUCACUGCGAGGACAAGCGGCUUUCUGCCCGAAAGCGCUCCCCCUCUCGCGUGGCCUGCUCCUCCGAGAGGCCCCGGCGGAAGAGCUGCUGAGGCUGCAGCAACAGAUCGGCAGGUCCCUGAUGGCAGGAGCACAGCGUCCAUUACCUCACAGCCAUGUGAAGUCAGGCUCCAGCUGACUGCUCUCUUUCUAAUAGACCUGCUCCAAGCCCUCUCUGCCUGCGUGACCCAAGUCAUCACUUAUGGCUGCCUUGCUGGAGCAAAAAGGACUUGAUUAAUGCUGUUUAGAUACACCGCCUUGGUGUUUUUAUGCCACUAAAUCAAGUGCCUGAGGAAAGUUUGUUAAGCAAACUAGAGGAAAAUGCAUGUUUUACAUAUUGCUUCAACAUUCGUGACCAACACUUCUAUUUAUUUCUGAAAGUGCACAAAAUAAUAAUCACUUGAUAAGGAGACUUAUUCAUAACUGAAAGAAAAAUGAGAAUAGGUUGAUGAAAUAGCCUGCAAGAAGACAUAUUUAAUGUUCCUUUUUUAGUUUAUUUUCAAAUUGUUUUUAAACAAAUACAGAAACUUUUUUGUUUUGUUUUGUCACAAGGGCAAAUAAACAUUUUAACAAUUUUAAUUAAAAGCUUGCACUUCAACUUUCUGUCACUCUAUUGCUAAUAUUACAAGUCUGGAGCUAUCAUAAAGCAGUUUUCAUAAGAAUUAUUUGACGUUUGGUCUUGGCCAAUAUCACAUGACUGACAGUGUGUUUACUGAUAAGAAGCAUCAGGAUUUAUAGUUAUUCUGCUCGUUGGUUCAAAGCUCAGUGUCUGGGUGAAAGUAUCACUAACAAAAGGUUGGAAGUUUAUUUUUUAAAAUAAAACUGUGAUGUUAUUUGAUAUUAUUAUUCUUGUUAUUUUUUGUAUAUGAAGCAAGAAUGGAAAGGAAAUGACCUACAAAGCUUCAACAAUUACUGUCCUCACUUCCCAAAUGCUUAUUGAGUGUUGUUAAAAAGAAAGGUGAUGUGAAACAGAGUUAAACAUGACCAUGUCCCAGCUUGUUUGGAACGUGUUGCAGGCAUUAAAUCUAAAAUGAGUGACUAUUUACAAAAAGAACAAUAAAGUUUUUGAUUUAACCACAUGAGCAUUAA